GCCGGGGUCGCCUAGCCUGGUAGGGCGCAGGCCUGGAAAGCUUGUGACUCUCUGAGUCUCGUGGGUUCAAAUCCCACUCCCGGCG
rnacentral:tRNA from 1 species